rnacentral:rRNA from 1 species
AGUCUAGCAUGUGCGCGAGUCAUUGGGACUCAAUAAACCUAAAGGCGCAAUGAAAGUGAAAGUCUGUUUACGCGGACUUAGGGAGGAUAGGUGCGUACACAUCUGUGUACAACCUCGCACUCCCGGGGCGUCUCGCACUCAUUGCGAGGUGGGGCGCACCAAGAGCGUACACGCUGGGACCCGAAAGAUGGUGAACUAUGCCUGGUCAGGACGAAGUCAGGGGAAACCCUGAUGGAGGUCCGUAGCGAUUCUGACGUGCAAAUCGAUCGUCGGAACUGGGCUUAGGGGCGAAAGACUAAUCGAACCAUCUAGUAGCUGGUUCCCACCGAAGUUUCCCUCAGGAUAGCUGGCACUAGAUUAUGGAUGAGUCUCAUCCGGUAAAGCGAAUGAUUAGAGGCAUUGGGGUCGAAACGGCCUCAACCUAUUCUCAAACUUUAAAUGGGUGAGAUCUCCGGCUUGCUCGAUUUAUGAAGCCGGAGAUCGGAUCAAUUAGUGCCAAGUGGGCCACUUUUGGUAAGCAGAACUGGCGCUGUGGGAUGAACCAAACGCAGAGUUAAAGCGCCAAAAUCGACGCUUAUGGGAUACCAUGAAAGGCGUUGGUAACUUAAGACAGCAGGACGGUGGCCAUGGAAGU